rnacentral:lncRNA from 13 species
GUCCUGAGAGCAUGGAGUCACCCGGAGUGCUGGCUGCUGGGUGGAAGCACACACUCUGACCUGGUCAGAGCUCAGGUCUGGUCACAGGCUGGGUCACUUUGGACUUUUGUCUUCUCAGCAUGGAGUGACUGAGUCGGCCCAGCUGCUUUUCAGCCUCAGAGGCUGGCUAGCGGUGGGGUGCAGACCUCACCUCUGAGGAGAAGAGCUUAGCUGUCACAUCUCUAACAGUCCAUCUGCAUGACAGGCAGUCGUCUCCCCACCGGACUUCCUAGAAAUCUGGGUUAGCAAAGCAUCAAUAUGUAAGUUGCCACCACUUCCUUCCUCUUGGGCAGCCACCAUGAACUCACCACAGGCUGUGUCUGAACAUGACAUCAGAAUCCUUCCCAACACUUGAGAACUGUGUGCUGCCGGAAGGCGCCCGUCCAUAGCUUGAGGGAUAACACUGACCACGUCCACAGUGACCAUCACAGAUGGCGACACCAGGGUCAGGGGCUCCAUUGGGGAUUCUAGUUCAGCUCUUUUGUUUGCAGGAUGACAUGGUUUGGAUCUGUCUCUCCACCCAAAUCUCGUGUCACAUUGUAAUCCCCAGUGUUGAAGGUGGGACCUGGUAAGAGCUUCCUGAGGCCUCCCCAUGCUUCCUGUGCAGCCUGUGGAACCAUGAACAAAUUCAACCUCUUCUCUAUCCAUUAUCCAGUCUCAGGUGUUUCUUUAUAGCAGUGUGAGAACAAACUAAUUCAGAGGAUGACACAGAAGCACAGAGAAGAAUCUCAUACUCUUGGGACCAAGCUGAGCGAGACUUUGGUUCCAAUAAUGAAGACGUGCAGUUCCUAUAAUGAGGACAGAGGAUCUCCUUGAAUGGAAAGCAGUUUUUUGUCACCAGAAUCUCAGAAACAGUACCAGGGAUCUAUUAAAGCCUCAGUGCCGAGCUGAGCUACAGACACCCAGGCCUGAAAGCCCUUCCUCCGGAGCGGACCGUCCAGAUUUGGAACCACUGCCAUGGACAAUUAAGCAAAGAAAGAGGUCCAGAUGAUGCGCUGCAGGAGAACAGAGCUGGCCCAGGAACACCCCACUUCUGCUCCUUCGUCCCUGCUGCAGAGACCUGGGAAGGCCCUGCCUGGCACACAGCACACUGGGGCGGCCCCACUGCAGCAUCUGGGCUGCCAUACCCAAGGUGCUUCCCAGCCCGAGAGGCUCCUAGCAGCUCUGACACCUUCUGUUGUCAUGUCACCUGGCCCCUCACCAUCACUGCCCUCACCUCUCCUGGGUUUAGAACACUUAAAUGCAUUUUCCUGAAGCCCUUCAGCCUCCAUCCAGUAGGAUGCCCUCCCAACUUCUUGCAGAGGCCCCAUUGCUGUCACCUUUCCAUGUGGCAGGCAGCUGAACUGUGUGCAGGGAUCCCCCUUGGAGAGGCAAAGCCUUUGAUGUGCAGCAGGCAGCAGACAGAUCUGAAGUAGUCAUCUGACUUCGGCAACUGGUUCGCUUUCCUCAUGGCAGGUGCACAAUGGGUCGUGUUUCUUUGUUGAUUCUGAAAUUAGCUUUGAGAAGAAUUCUGGAAGAGGGGAUCCAAAGCUAUGUGGAAUAAAAUCCUGGAAGGAAGUGGAGGGCCCUUCCCA